AAUGUUAGAAGAGUGUAGGCCUAACUGAGUGUAGAGUGUAGAGCAGAGAGCAUUGUGUUCGUCAUAACUGCAUCCUCAGGACACAGCUUUCCAACGUCAUCGUUCGUGUCCGUAGAUCUAAAUCUAGAUAUAUAGGUCUAUCGAUAUCAACCAAUUCAAAAAAUGUCUGGAAGGAGACGGAGAGGCAAUGCGGAGGCUACCCCCUUUGUAGAUGUGAGGUUUACCGUUGAGAGAGGCAAUACCAGUGAAAUAAUGGAGAUUCGAUGUGUGGGCAAAGUACCUGUGAAGAACUUGCAACAGGAACUGAGUUCAAGGUUUGGAGUUCCGCCUGUUCAUACAUGGAUUCUGCCCAAUGAAAAGGAAGCUGAUGAGGAAAAAACUCUGCUGGAACUGAUCGACCAGCAUAGUCUGCCCCAGGGCUACGGACCAAUGGAAAUCAUUGUAGUGAGAACAAGCACUGCUCUGACUUGAGAGGAGGAUGGCAAGUUUUUGUGCUUCAAGAACAGCGUUUUCAUUUUACAUUUAUGUAGAGAUAUCCUUAGCUGCUCUUAUGUAAAUGGUAAGAGGAGUUUAAGAUUCUCUCUGAGUUCUUUUACAUGCUGCAGAUUUUAUUCACGUUCUCCUUGUGAAUAUGUUCUAGCAAUUUUUGUUGGAGUUCCCUAACUGUCUAAGAUGGCAGCUCUGAUCUAAAUGGCUAAGAUGUUCUAGAUCCAUUUUUUUGUAACAGGUUUUAUUCACAUUUUAUGUGUGGAGAUGUCAAAACCACUUUGCCAAUGUUCCUUGACUGUUGAUGAUACUCUCUUACUAGCUGUGUUGACGUACUGGUUUCAGCUGCAGACUCUUGAGAUUUUUGUGUUCACGCAUUUAUCAGCAACUCUGUGCCAUUUUGUUGGAAUUCGUUUUCUGUUUAAUGAGAUUAAGUCUUGUCUCUGUUUGUUUUUUUUUGCUGCCAUUUUUUUGUGAGUCUCUGCUUUGUUGAUCUUUUCUUGGCACCAUGGGUGAAAGCACUGACAGGUUCAAAAACCUGAAAUCCGAAUUAGUCAAAUGCGUACGCCUGAAAAUUACACACGUUGAGAAACGUCGUCAGUCGUUAGAUAAACACACACAAUGUUAUGAAAUACACACAUUCCUUCAAGAUACAUACAUUUAGAACAUAUACUUUCAUCAAUGCAUUCCUUUUGACAACAAUCCUUCCAAUUGGGUUCUGCCCCUGGGUCCGCGAAACUGCAAUGUGCUAUUCCUGGAUGUUAAUUUUUUCACAGAUGUAUUAACUAACACUACAAAGUAUCUUAUCACAAUCCCCACUGAGACAAACUUUUUUUUAAAGUGUCGUGUCACUGUCACAGACCACAUUUGUAGUUUUUGAACUACAACUGAAAUAUGGACAUAGAAAUCUUUUCGUUAUGUACGAAUUUUGCAAUGGACAAAUUCUAGGCUGCACCAAGGAAGAUAACCAAGUUGGACAAUCAGGAUAAAAAUUUACAUGAAUUAUGUCCCCUUAUGCAAAACCGGCGUGUGUGAUGGAUUCAUGGCAAUUUAAUUUGUAAAUUUUAAUGCUUUAGUCCUCAGUCUUCACUGAAAUAAUUUGGCUUGACAUAGAAAUUGUGGAUAUGGCCUUCCCAUUUUGAAACCAAGGAAACACUGCCUGUUCCACUGCCCUUUACUUUAUCAGUUUAUGCCUUUUCGUCGCUGGAACACACCACUCUUAAUAUUUUCCGGUUUUUUUCUUUGGUUCGGAAUCCCAACGUUUUGCCGACUGGGUUUUUUUAUGUAUUGAUUUUUCAUCCACCUCUGCUAGGAUCAGCCGUUUGUCAUCAACCUAGAAGUCUUUGGACGUAUUUUUUGCUCCGCUACGGUUCACUCUCUACUACAACAACUUCACCUAGAUCUAACUGUACAGAACGUCGGUAAGCUGCUACAUAGUGCGUAAUCUCUAUUGAAGAGAAAGCACUGACUAGUGUUUGGCGUUAAUCGAUAUUAGCUAGUAUUGGGUAGUAUCGGGUACCCGCGUUCCCAGUAUCGAUCGAUACUCGAUAUGGAUACUGUGACGUCGCCAAAGGCUAAAAAUAGCGCUCACCGUAUUGUUUCCGUGAAGCGCUUUAAUAGAUGAAAGGUCAAAGGUCACGGUGUCAGUCAUUCGGCUUACCAGGCCCUACUGCCUGUAUUGUUUAUUGUUUUUUUUUUUUUUUUUAAUGCAAAUCAUUUUGACUACCUUGUCAUCGAGAAGUUUCUUCUUGAAGUGUGAAGGCGGGUAGGGCUCUGAACGGGUGCAAUCUGAUAGCUUCAUCUGCUUUGCAGGUCCUGCGCUGCAACUAUCGCUGCUGCUACCGCCUUUCUCCUUGUCAAGUGCAGCAUUUUCGCUAGGAUGUUUGGCAUUGAGAAGUUUCAUGAGAUUUGUGCUGUUCCCAUGAUGCUUUAAUAUGUCGUGACAAACAAGGCACCUGGCCUCUUUGUUUCCUGUAAGCUCUUCAAAAUGCGUCCAAACAGUGCUUUUCCUCUUUCUCAACAUGACUAAGCCUAUUUAGAAACUAAAGACGGGUGAUUGUAGACAGCACGUUUCUCUCUGAUAUCAUGCAGAUUAGGCGGCAAACACUACAAUCAUAACACUGAUCAGUAUCGACUAAGGGACUCUGCGAUAUCGAGUAUCGACUAAGAAAAUCAGUAUCGAUGAGUACCCGAUAUCGAUAUCGACUAAAGCCCAACACUAGCGCUGACACAUGUGGCGACAAUAGGACCCUACCGGCUACGUGCCUUCACAAGCAGACUCUCCACUCGCAUGUUUAAACCAAAUCUGCCACUCUGUUAAAUAAAAAAAUCAGGAUCUCAGGGAAAAAAUUGGGAUCAACGACAAAUCACCAAGAUGAAUAAAAAAUUUUUCCAGGGGUGUCCAUAAAUAUAUUCCAUGUAUAUGCCCUCUGUGCGCACGUGUGUGUUUUAUAAUAUUAUUAUUUUUCCCGUAAGCCUCGAAAGACGCUCCCACCAGCUAGUGUGCAUGAACUUAAGUUGACCCCGUCAACGAACGGUCCCUGACGCACGCAAAAUUCGCACGCCUAAGUCAUGUCAUGUUUGAUGCAAACGCACGAUUGAAAGUUUUACUCGCGGGUCUUGAUGACGGGCCCGCCAAAACAGAAAUUGAGUUGGAUAAAGCUUGUUUUGAAAGUAAAAGCAGAACUAUGAAUAAUAUUGAUCAUUUGUACACUGCAAUUGUAACAGUUAUCAGGCCAUCAUUGGAGAAUUCUGAGAUUACGGGUCCAGUAGCCUAGACUACCACGCAUUAAUACAGGGUGUCCUCUAGGGCUGGAUCGGGCCGAUUGCCUGACUCGGUGGCCUGAAACAAAACUAACAAGUUUGUUUUUGAGGCGACCGAGUCGGCCGAUCGGCCGAUCCCAUUAGUAGUGGGCAUAAAGUGUGCAAGCUAGGUCUAGGUCUACCGCUGAAUAUUCCUGUGUGGUAUGAAACAAACACGUCCUUGGCCUAGAUCUACACCCAGGCUACACUACUGCCCCUGGCUUGGGCCUAUUGAGAGGUCAUAGAGGCCUUGUCUCUCUCUCUCUCCAUUGGUAAAACGAAAUUUGCGCCGUAUACUAUAGGCCUGCAUGUAAUUAAAUCUUCCCUCUAUGUCGCUGAUUUUUUUCCUUGCUAUUGCGAAUUGUCAAGUUUUUGUGUGUGUUUUGGUACACAGAAUAAUAUACUAGGCUCCAAGACAACAAAAUUCGGGACCUCAAAUUAUGUUUGCUACAUCUAUUAUUCUAUCCGCGUCUUAUCUACAUUUAAUGAAAGAAUGAAUUUCCUUUAAAAAAAAUAAGAUAAAUAACUUGCAAUCUUUAAAGUUUGACCGCGACGCGCUUGUGCUUGUCCAAACGACACACAAACAUGAGCCAAAGAUGUCAAAACCAGUCACAAAUUGCAAAGUACGGCUAAACGGUAAACCUGGGCAAAUCACAGAGCGGUCUUGCCAGAGCAUUAACAUCGCGGGUGUAGUGUAUGCUGCGACAUAAAUCUAAUUGGGUUAUUUCUGUGUAACGCUCAUUUUGGCCAGUAGGGCAAGCUGAUACAGACCAGCAAUGUAACGAAAUGCAAAGAGCAAGAAACUUUGGAUGGGGAGAAUGACUACUUCUGAAAUCUUUAUAAUUUGUCCCAAACCGGAAAAGUUGGAAAGCUUAUUUUCAAAAGCCGGAAUUCCGGCAUAUGCCGGAAAACUUUCACCCAUGCUUGGCACUCUAGAAAUAUUUUCAGCCUUCAAGAGGCUAGGAUUUUCAUUGAGUGUGAAUUUUAAACUUUCAGUGCGCAGGUCCACACUUCCAGAUGUCAUAUAUAAAGGUCUUAAUACUGAAUGGUCUGGCUUUUCUUGUGUCAUGAGCCCUGCUUUAUUAUUAUUUUUUUGCUGUUCCCAUGCUAAUAAAGAAUGAAAGAUGCUAAUUUUUUUCUAAAGCUAAAAAAAUGUUAAGUAAUAAUAUAUAUAUGUGAGACAAGUUCUGAAAAAAGUUUUUGUGCAGUCACUUGAAUUUGCAUUCCUAUAUUUUGACUAUUACAGCUACUAUGCUGAAACUCAAUUCUGGGAAAUAAAUGAUAUUAUGCCAAAUCAGCUUAUAUA